CCUACGGGGGGCAGCAGUAGGGAAUCUUCCACAAUGGGCGCAAGCCUGAUGCAGCAACACCGCGUGAGUGAAGAAGGGUUUCGGCUCGUAAAGCUCUGUUGUUGGAGAAGAACGUGCGUGAAAGUAACUGUUCACGCCGUGCCGGUAUCCAACCAGAAAGUCACGUCUAACUACGUGCCAGCAGCCGCGGUAAUACGUAGGUGGCAAGCGUUAUCCGGAUUUAUUGUGCGUAAGGCGAGCGCAGGCGGUUGCGUAGGUCUGAUGUGAAAGCCUGCGGCUUAACCGAAGAAGUGCAUUGGAAACCGGGCGACUUGAGUGCAGAAGAGGACAGUGGAACUCCAUGUGUAGCGGUGGAAUGCGUAGAUAUAUGGAAGAACACCAGUGGCGAAGGCGGCUGGCUGGUCUGCAACUGACGCUGAGGCUCGAAAGCAUGGGUAGCGAACAGGAUUAGAUACCCUUGUAGUC
rnacentral:rRNA from 1 species